rnacentral:rRNA from 1 species
AUUGAACGCUAGCGGGAUGCCUUACACAUGCAAGUCGAACGGAGUGGCGAACGGGUGCGUAAUGUAUCGGACCGUGCCCAUUAGCGGGGGAUAACUACGCCUACGCGUAGCUAAUACCGCUUACUAUUGCAGCCGCCGAUAUCGGUUUCGCUAGUUGGAGGGGUAACGGCUCACCAAGGCGACGGUCCGUAGCCGGUUUGAGAGGACGACCAGCCACACGGGAACUGAGACACGGCCCAGACUCCUACGGGAGGCAGCAGUGGGGAAUUUUGGACAAUGGGGGAAACCCUGAUCCAGCCAGCCCGCGUGUGCGAUGAAGGCCUUCGGGUUGUAAAGCACUUGUAGCAGGGAAGCGGUACCUGCAGAAUAAGCACCGGCUAACUACGUGCCAGCAGCCGCGGUAAUAC